rnacentral:rRNA from 1 species
AUUGAACGCUGGCGGCAGGCCUAACACAUGCAAGUCGAACGAGUGGCGGACGGGUGAGUAAUGUAUGGGAAACUGCCCGAUGGAGGGGGAUAAAUACUGGAAACGGUAGCUAAUACCGCAUACCCUCGGAGGUGCCCAGAUGGGAUUAGCUAGUUGUGGGGGUAUAGGCUAACCAAGACGACGAUCCCUAGCUGGUCUGAGAGGAUGACCAGCCAAACUGGAACUGAGACACGGUCCAGACUCUUACGGGGGGCAGCAGUGGGGAAUAUUGCACAAUGGGCGCAAGCCGGAUGCAGCCAUGCCGCUGGGAUGAAGAAGGCCUUCGGGUUGUAAAGUACUUUCAGCGAGGAGGCGUUACUCGCAGAAGAAGCACCGGCUAACUCCGUGCCAGCAGCCGCGGUAAUUC